rnacentral:rRNA from 1 species
UACGUAGGGUGCAAGCGUUGUCCGGAAUUAUUGGGCGUAAAGAGCUCGUAGGCGGUUCGUCGCGUCGGCUGUGAAAUCCCGAGGCUCAACCUCGGGUCUGCAGUCGAUACGGGCGGACUGGAGUUCGGCAGGGGAGACUGGAAUUCCUGGUGUAGCGGUGAAAUGCGCAGAUAUCGGGAAGAACACCCGUGGCGAAGGCGGCACUCUGGGACGGUACUGACGCUGAGACGCGAAAGCGUGGGGAGCGAACAGG